ensembl:snRNA U2 U2 spliceosomal RNA
AUCACUUCUCAGCCUUUGGCUAAAAUCAUGUGUAGUAUCUGUUCUUAUCAGUUAUGUCCUCUCUCCGAGGAAACAUAGUAAAUGGAUUUGGGGAGCAGGGAGUUGGAGUAGGAGCUUGCCCCUUUCACUCCACAUAUCAACCUGGUAUGCAGUACUUCCAGGAACAGGGCACCUAUU